rfam:Gammaproteobacteria bacterium GWF2_41_13 gwf2_scaffold_2033, whole genome shotgun sequence.
AAUUUGAAGAGUUUGAUCCUGGCUCAGAUUGAACGCUGGCGGCACGCUUAACACAUGCAAGUCGAACGGCAGCACGGCGAGGGGAAACCUUCGUGGGUGGCGAGUGGCGGACGGGUGAGUAAUAUAUAGGGACCUGCCCUAAAGAGGGGGAUAACCCGAGGAAACUCGGGCUAAGACCGCGUAAGCUCUAAGGAGGAAAUCUGCCCGCGAGGGUGGAGCUUUAGGAGGGGCCUAUACCGGAUUAGCUAGUUGGUGGGGUAAAGGCUUACCAAGGCGACGAUCCGUAGCUGGUUUGAGAGGAC